GACGAACGCUGGCGGCGUGCUUAACACAUGCAAGUCGAACGGAAAGGCCCUGCUUUUGUGGGGUGCUCGAGUGGCGAACGGGUGAGUAACACGUGAGUAACCUGCCCUUGACUUUGGGAUAACUUCAGGAAACUGGGGCUAAUACCGGAUAGGAGCUCCUGCUGCAUGGUGGUGGUUGGAAAGUUUCGGCGUUUGGGGAUGGACUCGCGGCUUAUCAGCUUGUUGGUGGGGUAGUGGCUUACCAAGGCUUUGACGGGUAGCCGGCCUGAGAGGGUGACCGGCCACCUUGGGACUGAGAUACGGCCCAGACUCCUACGGGAGGCAGCAGUGGGGAAUAUUGCACAAUGGGCGGAAGCCUGAUGCAGCAACGCCGCGUGCGGGAUGACGGCCUUCGGGUUGUAAACCGCUUUCGCAUGUGACGAAGCGUGAGUGACGGUAAUGGGUAAAGAAGCACCGGCUAACUACGUG
rnacentral:rRNA from 1 species